AGAGUUUGAUCCUGGCUCAGGACGAACGCUGGCGGCGCGCCUAACACAUGCAAGUCGAACGAGCGAGAGAGAGCUUGCUUUCUCGAGCGAGUGGCGAACGGGUGAGUAACGCGUGAGGAACCUGCCUCAAAGAGGGGGACAACAGUUGGAAACGACUGCUAAUACCGCAUAAGCCCACGGGUCGGCAUCGACCAGAGGGAAAAGGAGCAAUCCGCUUUGAGAUGGCCUCGCGUCCGAUUAGCUAGUUGGUGAGGUAAUGGCCCACCAAGGCGACGAUCGGUAGCCGGACUGAGAGGUUGAACGGCCACAUUGGGACUGAGACACGGCCCAGACUCCUACGGGAGGCAGCAGUGGGGAAUAUUGCACAAUGGGGGAAACCCUGAUGCAGCGACGCCGCGUGGAGGAAGAAGGUCUUCGGAUUGUAAACUCCUGUUGUUGAGGAAGAUAAUGACGGUACUCAACAAGGAAGUGACGGCUAACUACGUGCCAGCAGCCGCGGUAAAACGUAGGUCACAAGCGUUGUCCGGAAUUACUGGGUGUAAAGGGAGCGCAGGCGGGAAGACAAGUUGGAAGUGAAAUCUAUGGGCUCAACCCAUAAACUGCUUUCAAAACUGUUUUUCUUGAGUAGUGCAGAGGUAGGCGGAAUUCCCGGUGUAGCGGUGGAAUGCGUAGAUAUCGGGAGGAACACCAGUGGCGAAGGCGGCCUACUGGGCACCAACUGACGCUGAGGCUCGAAAGUGUGGGUAGCAAACAGGAUUAGAUACCCUGGUAGUCCACACCGUAAACGAUGAUUACUAGGUGUUGGAGGAUUGACCCCUUCAGUGCCGCAGUUAACACAAUAAGUAAUCCACCUGGGGAGUACGACCGCAAGGUUGAAACUCAAAGGAAUUGACGGGGGCCCGCACAA
rnacentral:rRNA from 1 species